GGAUAUCCGCAUAUCAACUCCACUCUGAUGAUCUUUGCAGAUGUGGAAAGCAAAAGUCGACUGAAAGUGAUUAACCGAGAGGUGAACAUGGUUGCCCCAGCAAAGGCAAAUUAUCUGAAGUGGUCUCAAACACCCAUCACAUUCGACCAAUCUAAUCACCCGACUCAUAUUGCCACCCCUGGGAGGCAAGCUUUGGUGGUCGAUCCAGUUGUCGAAGGCACUCGACUGACAAAAGUGCUGAUGGAUGGUGGGAGUGGGCUGAACUUGUUGUAUGCAGACACAUUGAAAGGUAUGGGCAUUCCGAUGUCCCGACUGAGCACUAGUAACAUGAGCUUCCACGGAGUUAUACCAGGGAAGAAGGCCGAG
rnacentral:rRNA from 1 species